UACGGAGGGGACUAGCGUUGUUCGGAAUUACUGGGCGUAAAGCGCACGUAGGCGGACUGUUAAGUCGGGGGUGAAAUCCUGGGGCUCAACCUCAGAAUUGCCUCCGAUACUAGCAGUCUCGAGUGCGGGAGAGGUGAGUGGAAUUCCCAGUGUAGAGGUGAAAUUCGUAGAUAUUGGGAAGAACACCAGUGGCGAAAGGCGGCUCACUGGCCCGUAACUGACGCUG
rnacentral:rRNA from 1 species